GAUGAACGCUGGCGGCGUGCCUAAUACAUGCAAGUCGAGCGAAUGGAUUAAGAGCUUGCUCUUAUGAAGUUAGCGGCGGACGGGUGAGUAACACGUGGGUAACCUGCCCAUAAGACUGGGAUAACUCCGGGAAACCGGGGCUAAUACCGGAUAAUAUUUUGAACUGCAUGGUUCAAAAUUGAAAGGCGGCUUCGUCUGCCACUUAUGGACGGACUCGCGUCGCAUUAGCUAGUUGGUGAGGUAACAGCUCACCAAGGCAACGAUGCGUAGCCGACCUGAGAGGGUGAUCGGCCACACUGGGACUGGGACACGGCCCAGACUCCUACGGGAGGCAGCAGUAGGGAAUCUGCCGCAAUGGACGAAAGUCUGACGGAGCAACGCCGCGUGAGUGAUGAAGGCUUUCGGGUCGUAAAACUCUGUUGUUAGGGAAGAACAAGUGCUAGUUGAAUAAGCUGGCACCUUGACGGUACCUAACCAGAAAGCCACGGCUAACUACGUGCCAGCCGCCGCGGUAA
rnacentral:rRNA from 1 species